UGGGGAAUAUUGGACAAUGGGCGCAAGCCUGAUCCAGCAAUGCCGCGUGAGUGAUGAAGGCCUUAGGGUUGUAAAGCUCUUUCGCACGCGACGAUGACGGUAGCGUGAGAAGAAGCCCCGGCUAACUUCGUGCCAGCAGCCGCGGUAAUACGAAGGGGGCUAGCGUUGUUCGGAAUUACUGGGCGUAAAGGGCGCGUAGGCGGCCUGUUUAGUCAGAAGUGAAAGCCCCGGGCUCAACCUGGGAAUAGCUUUUGAUACUGGCAGGCUUGAGUUCCGGAGAGGAUGGUGGAAUUCCCAGUGUAGAGGUGAAAUUCGUAGAUAUUGGGAAGAACACCGGUGGCGAAGGCGGCCAUCUGGACGGACACUGACGC
rnacentral:rRNA from 1 species